AGUGGUAAGGCAUCGGUUUUUGGUACCGGCAUGCAAAGGUUCGAAUCCUUUUACUCCAG
rnacentral:tRNA from 1 species